CUGAUUAGUGAAUAAGGUAUAUUGAUCUUUUUACUCAUCUUUUAUUAUUUGUAAUAAUAGAAAGGAAGGAGAUAAUCGUUGAAGAUUUUUGGAAGGAUAUUUUUAUAUAAUUCUAACAAUUAGAGCUUCUGAAAGAACAUAUUUGUGAUGGCAAAAAUAUCAUUUCAUUUAUUUUUUGUUAGAAAAAUAAACAGUGUUCUAACGGUGACAAAUCAUAGGGACAAAUAUGAAUAUCACCAAAUUUCUUUAGAGAUAAAUAUAAAAAAGUUGAAAUUUAUAGGGAUAUAUUUAUUUUUUUCGAGAGAAUAUAGAGAUAUAUUUAUUAUUCGAUAUU
rnacentral:lncRNA from 1 species